AACGAACGCUGGCGGCAUGCCUAACACAUGCAAGUCGAACGAGACCUUCGGGUCUAGUGGCGCACGGGUGCGUAACGCGUGGGAAUCUGCCCUUAGGUUCGGAAUAACAGUUAGAAAUGACUGCUAAUACCGGAUAAUGACUUCGGUCCAAAGAUUUAUCGCCUAAGGAUGAGCCCGCGUAGGAUUAGCUUGUUGGUGAGGUAAAAGCUCACCAAGGCGACGAUCCUUAGCUGGUCUGAGAGGAUGAUCAGCCACACUGGGACUGAUACACGGCCCAGACUCCUACGGGAGGCAGCAGUGGGGAAUAUUGGACAGUGGGCGAAAGCCUGAUCCAGCAAUGCCGCGUGAGUGAUGAAGGCCUUAGGGUUGUAAAGCUCUUUUACCCGGGAUGAUAAUGACAGUACCGGGAGAAUAAGCUCCGGCUAACUCCGUGCCAGCCGCCGCAGUAAUAC
rnacentral:rRNA from 1 species